ACUUAAAAUACAUUAAGGUCUUCUGAAUUCGAAGAAUAGUUUAUUUCUUCUCGCCUUUUCUUCCAGAGUUGUUGUUUCCUCGAAUAUUUUGUGGAUUAUUGAAUACUGUUGUUUUGUAGGUGCAGAUUUUGGAUUUCAGGAGCCAGAUUUGGAUGAUCCUACAGAAGAUGCGCCAGAUUUGAUGACCAUGAAGACGAUCAAGAAGAUGAUGGUAGAAACGCUGACACCGAAGAAGUUACUUAUUUAGAUGAUGAAGCCUAUGCUAGAGCUCUUCAGGGAGCUUAAGAAAGGGAAACGACAGAUAGAUUGUCUAUCUUAUCUGGGUUAGCAGAUUGUGUUAAAGAUCCAGAGGAUGAGGAUCAUACUUCUCAGAACUAUCAGGAUUCAUAUUCAACUUACAACGGUCGAGAAAGCAAGUGGUGGUGGUGGUUGUGCAGAGAAUAAAAUCAAAAACAUUUGCUUCAAGAUGUUUAAAUAAGGGCAAGCUUUUGGCGAGCGGAAGAGAUCACAUUUCACCCAUGACUUUCAUGAUCCAACAACCCUAAGUAGAUCAUGAGAUGCUUACACUCAUCGAUCUUAAUUUUCCAUCGCAUAUUGAUGAGUGGAUCAGUCAUUAUUAUUGUUUCCUCUCUGUUUUGAUUUCUUUGCUCAAAAUUCACGAAUAAUUUUGGAUCCAAAGAUAAAACCAAAGCUUUUCCCCCUUAUUUUUCAUAAUCAUAUCAAACUUGGUGCUUUAGUUUCUUAUUAAACGAGUUAUAGAGAAAGAGUUCUAUGGGAGAGUUCAAUGGUAUAAAUCAACUAAAAGAACACCAUAGACAGAAAUCGUUGAUUUUAUUAACUAUCUAUUUAGAUGGAGCUUUCGGUAUGUAUUGCUGACCCGAAACCUUAUAAGAUGAUGAGAUCACCAAAGAAGAGACUUAAAAGUAAAACUAUGAACCACAACAUUCCCUUUCAUCCUUUUGUGUUGAUAUAUUUAAUUUUUUUUUAUUUGACAACAUAUUUUUGAUUGUUGUACGUUACAAAAGUGUUAAAGAGUAUUUAUAUUAACAAGAUGUGACGACCAAGUUUAAUUAUAAAUCCAUAUAAAUUAUAUGGGGGCUUUUGGAUGAAUUAUAUAUCCACCUUCACUUCAAAUCUUUGAUGAAACAAACUCUUUUCAGAUGUAGAUCCUUAUGAUUCAUAGAUUAUCUUGGUGAUUAGUUAGAAAGAGUAAAACUUAUAUUUUCUAUUUUAAUUUAUUAUAAAUUUUCAGAAUCAUUAUCUGAUUUAUAUGAUUUAAAUAUACCAAAUUUAGAAUGGUGGUUUACUUAAAAAGUUUGUUCUUUAGUUUGGUUAGUUUCUGUCUUAUUUUUAAUUUUGUAAUGUGUCUCACAAAUUGGUUUUGAGAACAAUUAUAUUUUUUGUGGUCA